UCGUUUUUCGUUUUCUAUUUCGAACGCUUCCAUUCGUUUUUCAACGGCUUUGGAAACUGCCAAUUCAAAUUCUUCAGUGUUGUGCUUCUCAGUUUCCUCAUUGCUCAUUUUUUUUCUCCUCUUAUUUGAUAACAUAGAGUCAUUGUCAACUCUAAAUCCCAGAAUGCGCCCAUUUUUCUUUUUCUUUGAUGCUUUCAGCCAAGGUCCAAUAUGAUCGUUUUUAAACAGAGGCUUCGUAUGAAAUGUAGUUGAACCUUGAGACGAUAAAUUUUCAUCUUCGCUAUCGUCAUCAGAAUCACUGUCUUCUUGUAUUCGAAGUUCUUCAUUCAAAUUUUCAUAUUCGGCCUUUACGAAAAUCAAAUAUGAAAGAAUUAAGAAAAAAUAAAUAUAUUAUGAAUAAUUAAUAAAUGAUCACUCACCAUCAUAGUUUUUCCUCUAUCAUUUAACGGCGUAUGAGUUGACAAGAAUGCCUUUUGAAAUGACGAUUUUCGACCUAAUUUGAGACUCUAUACGAAAACAUCUAGUUAAAAUAAUUGAUAAAAUAUUUAAAUUGAAAUGAAUUUAAAAUAUAAACUUACUAAUGCAUGAGAGUUGGCUUCAAAAGAAGCCGAUCUACCCUUGUACAGCAAAUAAUCGUCGUUUUUAGUUCGAUUUGCUGAAUUCUUUUUUCAUUUUUCUACGAACUCUGGUGUCAAAAACUUGUCCAUCAUUAGUC
rnacentral:lncRNA from 1 species